rnacentral:tRNA from 1 species
CUGGCUAAAGCUUAAUUUAAGCACUUUACUUACACUAAUGAGAACAUUGUAUGAUCAAUGUAGUCUGA